GCUGCCUAUGGGAGCCGUGGGAAGUGUCACGUUACCGCAGAGAUCCUUUGUUUUGGAAAGAGAUGUCAAAGAAAGCCAAUAAAUGGUCAGACAGGCCACUUCCUGUAAAGGAAUCUCUCAGGUUUUUGCCUGCCAUAUGAGUUCUGUUAUACUCACAGACACCAUUCAAACAGUUUUAGAAACUUUAGGGUGUUUUCUAUCCAUAUCUAAUAAGUAUAUGCAUAUUCUAGUUACUGGGUAGGAGUAGUAACCAGAUUAAAUCGGGUACGUUUUUUAUCCGGCGGUGUAAAUACUGCCCCCUAGCCCUAAGAGGUUAACAGAGUAGGAGGGGAGUAGAUUGUUGUCUGUAGUGUUUAACAGAGUAGGAGUGGAGUAGAGUGUUGUCUGUAGUGUUUAACAGAGUAGAAGGGUGUAGAGUAGAGUAUUGUCUGUAGUGUUUAACAGAGUAGGAGGGGAGUAGAGUGUUGUCUGCAGUGUUUAACAGAGUAGGAAGCGAGUAGAGUGGUGUCUGUAGUGUUUAACAGUUGGAGGGGGGUAUAGUGUUGUCUGUAGUGUUUAACAGAGUAGGAGGGGAGUAGAGUGUUGUCUGUAGUGUUUAACAAAAUAGGAGGAGAGUAGAGUAGAGUGUUUUCUGCAGUGUUUAACCGAGUAGGAGGGGAUUAGAGUAGUGUUGUCCAUAGUGUUUUAUAUAGGUGUAGGGGUGUAGAGUGUUGUCUUUAGUGUUUAACAGAGUGGAAGGGAAGUAGAGUGGAGAAUUGUCUGUAGUGUUUAACAAAGUAUAAUGUGAGUAGAGUAGAGAAUUGUCUGUAGUUUUUAACUGAGUAGGAGGUCAGGACAGUUCUGUGUGUUGUGUUUAACAGAGUGGGAGGGUGUAGAGUGUUGUCUGUAGUGUUUAACAGAGUAGAAGGGGAGUAAAGUAUAGUGUUGUCUGUAGUGUUUAACAGAGUAGGAAGGGAGUAGAGUGUUCUCUGGUGUGUUUAACAGAGUGGGAGGGUGUAGAGUGUUGUCUGUAGUGUUUAACAAAGUUGAAUGUGAGUAGAGUAGAGAAUUGUCUGUAGUUUUUAACAGAGUAGGAGGGGAGUAGAGUAGCGUGUUGUCUGUUGUGUUUAACAGAGUAGGAGGGGAGGGGAGUAGAGUGUUGUCUGUAGUGUUUUAAAGAGUAUAAAGGGAGUAGAGUAGAGUGUUGUCUGCAGUGUUUAACAGAGUAGGAGGGGAGUAGAGUAUAGUGUUGUCUGUAGUGUUUAACAGAGUAGGAGAAGGUAGAGUGUUGUCUGUAGUGUUUAACAGAGUAGGAGGGGAGUAGAGUGUUGUCUGUAGUGUUUAAAAUAGUAUAAAGGGAGUAGAGUAGAGUGUUGUCUGUAGUGUUUACCAGAGUAGGAGGGGAGUAGAGUGUUGUCUCUAGUGUUUAACAGAGUAGUAGGAGGUAGAGUGUCGUCUGUAGUGUUUAACAGAGUAGAAGGGGAGUAGAGUGUUGUCUGUAGUGUUUAACAAAGUAGGAGGGGAGUAGAGUAGAGUGUUGUCUGUAGUGUUUAAAAAAGUAGGAAAAGAGUAGAGUGUUGUCUGUAGUGUUUAACAGAGUAGGAGGGGAGUAGAGUAGAGUGUUGUCUGUAGUGUUUAACAGAGUAGGAAGGGAGUAGAGCAGAGUGUUGUCUGUCGUGUUUAACAGAGUAUGAGGGGAGUAGAGUGUUUUCUGUAGUGUUUAAUAGAGUAGGAGAGUAGUAGGGUAGAGUGUUGUCUGUAGUGUUUAACAAAGUAGGAGUGGAGUAGAGUAGAGUGUUGUCUAUAGUGUUUAACAAAGUAGGAAAAGAGUAGAGUGUUGUCUGUAGUGUUUAACAGAGUAGGAGGGGAGUAGAGUAGAGUGUUGUCUGUAGUGUUUAACAGAGGAGGAGGGGAGUAGAGUGUUGUCUGUAGUGUUUAACAGAGUAGAAGGGGAGUAAAGUAUAGUGUUGUCUGUCGUGUUUAACAGAGUAUGAGGGGAGUAGAGUCUUUUCUGUAGUGUUUAAUAGAGUAGGAGUGUAGUAGGGUAGAGUGUUGUCUGUAGUGUUUAACAAAGUAGGAGGAGAGUAGAGUAGAGUGUUUUCUGUAGUGUUUAACCGAGUAGGAGGGGAUUAGAGUAGUGUUGUCCAUAGUGUUUUAUAUAGGUGUAGGGGUGUAGAGUGUUGUCUUUAGUGUUUAACAGAGUGGAAGGGAAGUAGAGUGGAGAAUUGUCUGUAGUGUUUAGCAAAGUAUAAUGUGAGUAGAGUAGAGAAUUGUCUGUAGUUUUUAACUGAGUAGGAGGUCAGGACAGUUCUGUGUGUUGUGUUUAACAGAGUGGGAGGGUGUAGAGUGUUGUCUGUAGUGUUUAACAGAGUAGAAGGGGAGUAAAGUAUAGUGUUGUCUGUAGUGUUUAACAGAGUAGGAAGGGAGUAGAGUGUUCUCUGGUGUGUUUAACAGAGUGGGAGGGUAGUAGAGUGUUGUCUGUAGUGUUUAACAAAGUAGAAUGUGAGUACAGUGGAGAAUUGUCUGUAGUGUUUAACAACGUAGGAGGGGAGUAGAGUGCUGUCUGUAGUGUUUAACAGAGUAGUAGGGGUGUAGACUGUUGUCUUUAGUGUUUUACAGAGUAGGAGGGGAAUAGAGUAGGGUGUUGUCUGCUGUGUUUAACAGAGUAGGAGGGGAGUAGAGUAGUGUUGUCUUUAGUUUUUAACAGAGUAGCAUUUGUGUUGAUUAGAGUGUUGUCUGUAGUGUUUAACAGAGUAGGACGAGAGUGGAGUAGAGUGUUGUCUGUAGUUUUUAACAGAGUAGAAGGGGAGUAGAGUGUUGUCUUUAGUGUUAAACAGAGUCGCAGGGGAGUUGAGUGUUGUCUGUACUGUUUAACAGAGUAGGAGGGGAGUAGAGUGCUGUCUGUAGUGUUUAACAGAGUUGCAGGGGAGUAGAGUUUUGUCUGUAGUUUUUAACAGGGUAGAAGGGGAGUUGAGUAGAGUGUUGUCUGUAGUGUUUAGCAGAGUUGGAGGUGAGUAGAGUAGAGUGUUGUCUGUAAUUUUAACAGAGUAGGAGGGAGUAGAGUAAAGUGUUGUAUGUAGUGUUUAACAGAGUUGCAGGGGAGUAGAGUGAAGUCUGUAGUGUUUAACAGAGUAGGAGGGGAACAGAGUAAAGUGUUGUCUGCAGUGUUUAACAGAAUAGGAGGGGAGUAGAGUAGUGUUGUCUGUCGUGUUUAACAGAGUAGCAUUUGAGUAGAUUAGUGUUGUCUGUAGUGUUUAACAGAGUAGGAGGGGAGUAGAGUCAAGUGUUGUCUGUUGUUUUUAACAGAGUUGAAGGGGUGUAGAGUAAAGUGUUGUCUGUAGUGUUUAACAGAGUAGGAGGGGAGUAGAGUGUUGUCUGUAGUGUUUAACAGAGUAGGAGGGGAGUAGAGUGUUGUCUGUAGUGUUUAACAGAGUAUGAGGGGAGUAGAGUGUUGUCUGUAGCGUUUAAGAGAGUAGGAGGGGAGUAGAGUGUUGUCUGCAGUGUUUAACAGAGUAGGAGGGGAGGGGAGUAGAAUAUUGUCUGUAGUGUUUAACAGAGUAGGAGGGGAGUAUAGUGUUGUCUCUAGUGUUUAACAGAGUAGGAGGAGGUAGAGUGUUGUCUGUAGUGUUUAACAUAGUAGGAAAGGGAGAAAAGUGUUGUCUGUAGUGUUUAAAAGAGUAGGAGGGGAGUGGAAUGUUGUCUGUAGUGUUUAACAGAGUAGGAGGGGAGUAGAGCUUUGUCUGUAGUGUUUAACAAAGUAGGAGGGGAGUAGAGUGUUCUCUGGUGUGUUUAACAGAGUGGGAGGGGAGUAGAGCUUUGUCUGUAGUGUUUAACAGAGUAGGAGGGGAGUAGAGUGUUCUCUGGUGUGUUUAACAGAGUAGGAGAAGAGUAGAGUGUUGUCUGUAAUGUUUAACAGAGUAGGAGGGGAGUAGAGUUUUGUGUGUAGUGUUUAACAGAGUAGGAGGGUGUAUAGUGUUGUCUGUAGUGUUUAACAGAGCAGGAGGGGAGUAGAGUAGAGCUUUGUCUGUGGUGUUUAACAGAGUAGGAGGGGAGUAGGGUGUUGUCUGUAAUGUUUAACAGAGUAUAAGGGGAGCAGAGUAGCGUGUUGUCUUUAGUGUUUAACAGAGUAUGAGGGGAGUAGAGUAGCGUGUUGUCUGUAGUGUGUAACAGAGUAGAAGGGGAGUAGAGUGUUGUCUGUAGUGUUUAACAGAGUAGGAGGGGAGGGGAGUAGAGUGUUAUCUGUAUUGUUUAACAGAGUAGGAGUGGAGUAGUGUUGUCUGUAGUGGUUAACAGAGUAGGAGGGGGGUAGAGGGUUGUCUGUAGUGUUUAACAGAGUGGGAGGGGAUUAGAGUGUUGUCUGUAGUGUUUAACAAAGUAGGAGGGGAGUAGAGUAGAGUGUUGUCUGUAGUGUUUAACAGAGUUGAGGGGGGUAGAGUAGAGUGUUGUCUGUAAUUUUAACAGAGUAUGAGGGAGUAGAGUAAAGUGUUGUAUGUAGUGUUUAACAGAGUAGCAGGGGAGUAGAGUGUUUUCUGUAGUGUUUAACAGAGUAGGAUUGGAAUAGAGUGUUGUCUGUAGUGUUUAACAGAGUAGAAGGGGAGUAUAAUUUUGUCUGUAGUGUUUAAAAGAGUAGGAGGGGAGUAGAGUAAAGUGUUGUCUGCAGUGUUUACAGAGUAGGAGGGGAGUAGGUCAGUGUUGUCUGUAGUUUUAACAGAGUAGAAUUUGAGUAGAUUAGAGUGUUGUCUGUAGUUUUUAACAGAGUAGGAGGGGAGUCGAGUCAAGUGUUUUCUGUUGUUUUUGAACAGAGUUGAAGGGGUGUGGAGUAAAGUGUUGUCUGUAGUGUUUAACAGAGAAGGAGGGGAGUAGAGUGUUGUCUGUAGUGUUUUACAGAUAGGAGGGGAGUAGAGUGCUGUCUGUAGUGUUUAACAGAGUUGCAGGGGAGUAGAGUUUUGUCUGUAGUUUUUAACAGGGUAGAAGGGGAGUUGAGUAGAGUGUUGUCUGUAGUGUUUAGCAGAGUUGGAGUUGAGUAGAGUAGAGUGUUGUCUGUAAUUUUAACAGAGUAGGAGGGAGUAAAGUGUUGUAUGUAGUGUUUAACAGAGUAGGAGGGGAAUAGAGUGUUGUCUGUAGUGUUUAACAGAGUAGCAUUUGAGUAGAUUAGAGUGGUGUAUGUAGUGUUUAACAGAGUUGAAGGGGAGUCGAGUAAAGUGCUGUCUGUAGUGUUUAACAGAGUAGGAGGGAGUAAAGUGUUGUCUGUAGUGUUUAACAGAGUAGGAGGGGAGUAGAGUGUUGUCUGUAGUGUUUAACAGAGUAGGAGGGGAGUAGAGUGUUGUCUGUAGUGUUUAACAGAGUAGGAGGGGAGUAGAGUGUUGUCUGUAGUGUUUAACAGAGUCGCAGGGGAGUAGAGUGUUGUCUGUAGUGUUUAACAGAGUAUGAGGGGAGUAGAGUGGAAUGUUGUCUGUAGUGUUUAACAGAGUAGGAGGGGAGUAUAAUUUUGUCUGUAGUGUUUAACAGAGUAGGAGGGGAGUAGAGUAAAGUGUUGUCUGUAGUGUUUAGCAGAGUAGGAGUGGAGUAGAGUAGAGUGUUGUCUGUUGUGUUUAACAGAUUAGGAGGGGCGUAAAGUAGAGUGUUGUCUGUAGUGUAUAGCUGUUGCAGGGCUGUUGGUUUGCUAAAUGUUUUCAGGAUGGAGCGAGGGCACUGCUCCUGCCGGUUAGUUCCUAGUCCCCUGGGCGCGUCGAGGAACAGAGGUAACCUAUUUUCUUUGGCAAGGUUGAGCAGUCACACAGACACUCUGUUUGUGUUGUUGAUUGCAGUUCUCUUUCUCUCUCUCUUCUCUUCCUAUCUCUUUCUCUCUCUUUCCCUUACAGUUUCUCUCUCUUUCUAUCUCUCUGUCUUUCUCUCUCUUUCUAUCUCUCUGUCUUUCUCUCUCCUUCUCUCUCUCCUCCCAACUUUCUCUCUCUGUUUUCUGUAUUCCUCCCUAUUUCUCUCUCCCUCCCUUCCCCUCUACCCCUAUCUCUAUCACACUGGGAUGAAUGCUGUCUUGCUGUGCUGUGUGUUUGCCUGCCUGGUUCAAGGCUGUGUUGUUAGUAAAUUGGACCAUUAGAAGACACUCUGACCUAACCAAAGGCAUUUUGUUCUUUCUGCUGUGUUUUUUCUCCUUCUCUCAGUAUAAAUAUACACCUUUGAUGGAACGGGAGAGACCGGAGAACCAUUAACAUAUCAUUAAAUGGCCAACAAAUUGGGGUGAACCUUGAAAUGAAGGGAAGAAAAAAAUAUUCUUUCUCUUUUACCCUCACAGUUUUCCCCCCUCAUAAUAAUUCAUGGUGAAAAUCAGAUAGUAGUUGUGACAGAGGUGAACCGCAACCACAAAGCUUGCCUCUUUUUCUUUCUUUCUUUCUCUCUCUCUCUUUCUAUCUCCCUACCACAC
rnacentral:lncRNA from 1 species